CUACGGGCCGCAGCAGUGGGGAAUAUUGCGCAAUGGGCGAAAGCCUGACGCAGCAACGCCGCGUGAGUGAUGAAGGCCUUCGGGUCGUAAAGCUCUGUCGGGAGGGAAGAACACCUUCGGGUCUGACGGUACCUCCCGAGGAAGCACAGGCUAACUCCGUGCCAGCAGCCGCGGUAAUACGGAGUGUGCAAGCGUUGUUCGGAAUUACUGGGCGUAAAGCGCGCGUAGGCGGCUUGAUAAGUCAGAUGUGAAAUCCCUCGGCUCAACCGAGGAGCUGCAUUUGAAACUGUCAGGCUUGAGUACGGGAGGGGGAAGCGGAAUUCCCAGUGUAGAGGUGAAAUUCGUAGAUAUUGGGAGGAACACCAGCGGCGAAGGCGGCUUCCUGGACCGAUACUGACGCUGAGGCGCGAAAGCGUGGGGAUCAAACAGGAUUAGAUACCCGCGUAGUC
rnacentral:rRNA from 1 species